CCCUUAGAUGUUCUGGGCAGCACGCGCGCUACACUGAUGCAUUCAACGAGUCUAAAACCUGCUCUGAUAGGGGUGGGUAAUCUUUUGAAUGUGCAUCGUGAUUGGGAUAGAUGAUUGCAAUUUUUCAUCUUCAACGAGGAAUGCCUAGUAAACGCAAGUCAUCAGCUUGCAUUGAUUACGUCCCUGCCCUUUGUACACACCGCCCGUCGCUCCUACCGAUUGAAUGAUCCGAUGAAUAUCAUGGAUUGAGGAUGUAAGCAGGUUCGCCUGUCUUCAUCUUCGAGAAGUGAAGUAAAUCUUAUCAUUUAGAGGAAGGAGAAGUCGUAACA
rnacentral:rRNA from 1 species